rnacentral:rRNA from 1 species
GACGUAGGGGCGCGAGCGUUGUCCGGAUUUAUUGGGCGUAAAGAGCUCGUAGGUCGGCUUGUCGCGUCGACUGUGAAAACCCCGCGGCUCAACCGCGGGCCUGCAGCCGAUACGGGCAGGCUAGAGUUCGGUAGGGGAGACUGGAAUUCCUGGUGAGCGGUGAAAUGCGCAGAUAUCAGGAGGAACACCGAUGGGCGAAGGCAGAUCUCUGGGCCAUUACUGACGCGAGGAGCGAAAGCACUGGGGAGCGAACAGG